UGCGCGUUUUAGCUCGCGUGUGUGCAAGCGCCUCUGUGUCGCUGCGGCAGCCCACCAAAGCCCACAGAGAGGGUGUGGCAGCGUGCCGCCUGACUUGGCUGGGCAAGACGUGCGCACGGGUCCACCGACGUGCUUCCCCGCCCUCCCUUUCUUUCUUCUCCCUGUCUCUUCGUGCACAACACACGCACGGCCAUCCACAUACGAACGUACCCGCGCCAACACGCGCUCAUCCCGGCAGCGGCACUUGCGCGCGCUACAGUGGCGCGCUGGAGGUUUUAUUCAUUGUGUUCUCGCUCCCCUUCCAGCAUGGCGUUGCCUGUGUUCGGCUGCGAGCAGCAGCGGAGCUAUACUUUCUCCAUGCACUGCAAGCGCUCCCUUAACCCGACACUGACGCAUCAGUUCGAGGUGACGUGGCCGUGGCCAGCGCUGCAGCGCAAAGGGCGGCCUCGCGUCGCCAGCGGUAUUACUGGCGAUGCACAGGCCGUGGCGAGAUCGUCAAACACACCGCAGGGCGGCCUUUUCAAGGAGGAGGACGAGGCAGAGGAGGGAGAGGACGAAGAGGGAGAGGAGGACGUGGAGGGAACCGCCAAGGCGGGCGUGCAUGGCCGUGCCGCGACCUGCCGCCGCGUCGCGCCUCUUUGGCGAGAGCGACGCCGCUACGGACGGCCAACGUUCAUCCUUGACCUCUCGAGUGACCCGUUUCUUGGCGGGCAUGAGACACGUCGCGCUGGUGCGCUUCUCUCGCCAGGCUAUCGCUGCCUCUUACCCUUGGUCCAGCUUGGCGAGCCGGAGCAGCUGCCGGACAGGGCCGGUGUGGCUUUCUGGCGCACAGCCUUUAAGCCGCCAUUGUGCAGGGCAGAGUCUUUGUUGUCGUCCUCGCAUCCUAGCGCCGCCUACCCACCGCCGUACUGCGCCGAGCUUGUCGUCGGUGAGCUUUCCGGGAUUGAGCGGGCGGUUCGACAGCGUUAUGAGAGGGCGACAGCGUCAUCCCGACGCAACAACACGCAUGCGCCUAUGAGGCCGUCGUUUCUGUCUCGCAUUUCACUCGAGCCCCGCACACAGCUCAGCGCGCCGCCGCCGACAGCCGGCGGAGAGGAGAACUUGCCGACAGAGAGCCCCGGCCGUCCAUCGCCGUGUGCAAAGCAAGCGGAAGAGGCGGCGCCCGCCGCAUCGCUGACGUCAGCGACGGAGCGUGGUCAUGGGCAGAUAGCUGCGGCAUCGAGCCCACCAGCAGCGUCAUCACGGUCACAGCGAGUCUCAGCCUUCGCACCCAAGACGGUGCUUACCUUUUUCUUCUACACCAUCCCGUUUCGCCUUCGCUGGCUCUCACAGCUGCCGGGAUGCAUCGUUGUCUCUCUGCCAUGCGAGGAGCGACUGCUGACCUUGCACGCACCUCAUGCGAAUGACGACCACAGCGGCGUACGGCAGCCAUCACCGUCGUUGGUGCGUGGCGGUGGCAGCGCCACUCCGACUGCGAUCAUUGCCAUGUCACAGGCCCACAGCUACGCGCUGCCGCGCGGUGUGGUUCCGCUCGAUAUCUCGGAGGUGUUUGACCGCCCCUUUCUCGCCAUAGGCACGGCUGAGCACGGGGUGUUGCUGUGCCACCUCGACACGUCGACCGGUGCCGUGCAGAGCAUCGCGCGCUGGAUCUCGCUGAGAGGGUAUGGGAGCUCUCUGUACCCCGUGACCCGCCUCGCGGCGGUGUUCCCUGCACGUCAGCCGGAGCGCGCGCCGGGCCGCUUCACCGACUUCCCCUCAGCACCCCCGUGGGCGAGGCACGCGGUCGCCCUCGAAAGCCUCAACGACGGCGCACUCGUGUGCUCCUCGCCGUAUGAGGCCACCGCCGCUGUUGUCAAGCUCGGCGUGGCCGCAGAGGGCGUGGUAGAGGACUUCUCUGUCCUCCGCGGCGUCGACACGAUCCUUGACGUGAGCGCGACUGUGCAGCCCGAUUUGGGACCACUAGUCUGCACCGUGGCGCGGAAACUGCUACGGUUGCGUGUCGUUGACUCCGCGGCCGAGGCGGCGGAGCGGCGCACUGCAAUUCUGAAGAAAAAGUUGGACUCCGGUCUUGCCGAUCGCGUGAGUCCGUGCCUGACUCACGACCGGAUGGCGCGGCUGGAAUGCCCGCUUCUUCACGUCGCUUCCAGCCCUGCUGUCGUGCAGUCCUUCACCGAAAAGUACGUGAGUCGGCGCCGAUACACGAAGCACUGGCAGUUUGCAGUGGACAGCUCGAAUCGCGUGGUACUGCUAGACCGGACGGUGAGCCAAUACAUUGUCCACUCCACCUUUCAGUUAUGCCGCUGCGGCUCGGCCGCCGGGGAGGGGCGAGUCGCGCCGACCGGCUCUCUUCUCCCCGUCUCCGCCACGGCGGACCGCAGGAACGAGAGGCAGGCAAAGGUGCCUUGCGCAGGCGAAGAGGAGGAUGUGCUCUUCAAAAGCUGCGCGGCCGCCGCAGACGACAACGAGGACAACACGCCGUUGUCGUCGCUUCCGUCGGCGCGGCUCUCGCCAACUCCUGCUGGUGGCCAGAAACGUCCGCGACCGGCGCCGAAGGCCUCAAGGAACAAGAGGGGGUCUGAGUCGGCUGCCAAGCGUCGUGGGGCAGCGGCCGCGCCGUCCUCCGUUGCUGCUGCCGGUGCUAAGGAGGAAAGGGAUGAGGACGAGGACGAGGACGACGCAUCGCCUGGCAAGGUGAACUCGUUUCAUGCCUUUGCAUCGGCGGUCCCCAUUGAGGAUGCCUGCAGCGGCGUCGUGGUGACGCGUGUGGAGGAUCAGAUGAUCCAAGUGGCUGCCUCGCACGACCGUGACUGCAUUUCUCUGGUGACGUGGCGCAUCGGUCUUGUUACCAUGCCACCACCACCGAUGUUCUCUUCCGCGGCCACCGCCAUCACGGCAGCCUCCGCUGCAUACGGCAAGGCAGAUGCGCAGUCGUAGAGACGGGAUGAAGGUGGGGGAGAGGACCUUGUUUCUUGCCCUUCUGCGAACGGUUUCUCGCGUAGGCAGCGAUGCACCUGGGCGCUCAAAGACGUAGCUAGCAGCAGAGAUUGCUGUGUAAGGAGUACGCGUUUCCAGCGCAGCCAUGGACAGAGACGCCAUGGAUAGCGAAGGAGGGAAGGUGGUGAUAGUGUUCAGGUGCUGAGGAGCUUGUGGUGGUGGUGGGAAGGAACGACCUGGCGGGUGGUAUCGCGCGCUCGGCAACUGUCUUUUUUUCGAAUGAGCGGAGGAGGGGGAGGGGUGCUCGUAUCGCCCACCAUCGUGAUCAGCGACUCCACCGGUGUGUGUGUGUGUGUGUUCUCUCUUUCUCUUUAGAUCUUGUACCCCUCCCCCUUCGCCGGACAUCGACGCGUCUCUCGUUUUCCCCAAAGCAUCACCCACACGACCCACAUGUGAUGCGUGAGGGGUGCACGUGUGCCAAAGGCCCCUUCCCCCGUUUCCUGUUCACUCUGGCAACUCGGCCACCGCUAGAUUUACUUCCAAUGACACUGUGCCAUUCUUGUCCGACUCCCUCCUCCCUUCGGCAUUCGUGACUCUCUGCAUCGUCACAGCAACGCCUCUUCCGCUCAACGCCUCCUCCCCUAUGUCUCCGGCAGCACCAAGGAGCAUCGGAAC
rnacentral:misc_RNA from 1 species